rnacentral:rRNA from 1 species
CGGGUGGCGAGCGGCGGACGGGUGAGUAAUGCCUGGGAAAUUGCCCUGAUGUGGGGGAUAACCAUUGGAAACGAUGGCUAAUACCGCAUGAUGCCUACGGGCCAAAGAGGGGGACCUUCGGGCCUCUCGCGUCAGGAUAUGCCCAGGUGGGAUUAGCUAGUUGGUGAGGUAAGGGCUCACCAAGGCGACGAUCCCUAGCUGGUCUGAGAGGAUGAUCAGCCACACUGGAACUGAGACACGGUCCAGACUCCUACGGGAGGCAGCAGUGGGGAAUAUUGCACAAUGGGCGCAAGCCUGAUGCAGCCAUGCCGCGUGUGUGAAGAAGGCCUUCGGGUUGUAAAGCACUUUCAGUUGUGAGGAAGGUGGUGUCGUUAAUAGCGGCAUCAUUUGACGUUAGCAACAGAAGAAGCACCGGCUAACUCCGUGCCAGCAGCCGCGGUAAUACGGAGGGUGCGAGCGUUAAUCGGAAUUACUGGGCGUAAAGCGCAUGCAGGUGGUUUGUUAAGUCAGAUGUGAAAGCCCGGGGCUCAACCUCGGAACUGCAUUUGAAACUGGCAGACUAGAGUACUGUAGAGGGGGG